CCUUGUUAUAUUUUCCACAAGGGACGACAGUUCCUGCGGGGGCGGAGGGGGGAAGAGGUAAUGACAAUUAAGUAUAAAAAGCCCCCUCCCCGCUUUGAAUCUGUGCCUAACUAGCAGCAGGAGAAGAAGAGGCGGAGGGUUUGAUGAUAUUGGAAGCCCCGCCCAAUGCCUGGGCAGGGGGACGUCCUGCUUCCCCCCUCUCCCUCCGCGCGCACGCCCGCCCGCUCUUUGGAAGGAACUGGAGUGGCUUCUUUCUUUCUCUCCUUGCUGCUGACUCUCCUCCUUCUCCCUCGCCGCCCCCUCCCCAUGCACGCACAGAGCCCGUCUCUCGCGCUCGGUCCUGCAGACAGACAGGGAGACAGAAGAUGGCUGACUCGCCAGGGCAACCCACGGUCCGGCCCGCAUCCCCAACCCUCCCAGAGCCGCUUUCUCCUUUGACACCCGUUGACGCUUUCGCCCAGCGCUAAAAGCCGCCCCCGUCCUCCCUCCCUUCCUCUCCACAACCUUCCCCCCAAAGCUUUUCCCAAAUAAUACCAGCAGCCAUUUCAUUUCCACCAAAGUAGAUACACGCGCGCGCGCGCGCACAUACACACACACACACACACAACACACACGCACACAAAACAACAAAAAAAUGGCAGAAAUGGAGAAAGAAGGGAGACCUCCAGAAAAUAAAAGAAGCAGGAAGCCGGCUCACCCCGUGAAAAGGGAAAUCAAUGAAGAGAUGAAGAAUUUUGCAGAAAACACUAUGAAUGAGCUCCUUGGCUGGUAUGGUUAUGAUAAGGUUGAAUUAAAAGAUGGAGAAGAUAUUGAAUUCAGGAAUUACUCUACAGAUGGGGAGAGCCGACAGCACAUUUCUGUUCUCAAAGAAAACUCUUUGCCAAAAACAAAAUUACCUGAAGACAGUGUUACAUCAUCAUACAAUAUACACACAAGCUAUCCAGGGCUGACCACAGGAAACGGAAUCUCAGACUCACCAGCAGGAUCAAAGGAACAUGGCAAUAUACCCAUUAUUGUACCAUUAAUUCCACCACCUUUUAUAAAGCCACCAGCAGAAGAUGAUGUAUCAAAUGUACAAAUCAUGUGUGCCUGGUGCCAGAAAGUGGGAAUCAAACGCUAUUCUCUGAGUAUGGGGAGCGAAGUGAAAUGCUUCUGCAGUGAAAAAUGUUUUGCAGCUUGCCGGAGAGCAUACUUCAAAAGAAACAAGGCUAGAGAUGAAGAUGGACAUGCUGAAAAUUUUCCCCAGCAACACUAUGCUAAGGAAACUCCAAGACUUGCCUUCAAGAAUAACUGCGAACUACUUGUGUGUGACUGGUGUAAGCACAUAAGACACACAAAAGAGUAUCUGGAUUUUGGGGACGGGGAAAGAAGGCUUCAAUUCUGCAGUGCAAAAUGUCUCAAUCAGUACAAAAUGGACAUUUUCUACAAAGAGACACAGGCCAAUCUUCCAGCUGGACUCUGCAGCACAUUACAUCCUCCAGUAGAAAAUAAAGCAGAAGGCACUGGGGUGCAGCUGCUGACUCCAGAUUCUUGGAAUAUAUCGCUAGCAGAUGCUCGGAGAAAGGCCCCAUCCCCAGUGUCUGCAGCUGGCCAAAUUCAAGGUCCUGGACCAUCCACAUCUACCACUGCCUCUCCGUCUGAUAUUGCCAACUGCUCUGUCACUAAAAUCCCAACACCGGUUCCCAAACUCAAUGAGAAUCCAAAUAUUCCACCAGUUUCUGUUCAGCCACCUGCUGGUAUUGUGCCUCCAAUUGGUGUCCCACCUCGAAGUCCACCCAUGGUGAUGACAAACCGUGGACCAGUUCCCUUGCCCAUAUUCAUGGAACAGCAAAUUCUGCAGCAGAUUCGUCCACCGUUUAUUCGAGGGCCGCCUCAUCAUGCAUCAAAUCCAAAUAGCCCUCUGUCCAAUCCAAUGAUUCCUGGAAUUGGCCCACCACCAGGUGGUCCUAGAAAUAUGGGACCCACUUCCAGCCCAAUGCAUAGGCCAAUGUUGUCCCCUCAUAUCCAUCCUCCAACAACUCCAACCAUGCCUGGAAAUCCUCCAGGCUUACUACCCCCUCCACCUCCAGGAGUUCCUUUGCCCAGCCUGCCUUUCCCUCCUGUAAGCAUGAUGCCAAAUGGUCCCAUGCCCAUGCCACAGAUGAUGAACUUUGGUUUGCCAUCUCUUGCCCCAUUAGUGCCACCACCAACCCUCUUAGUGCCAUAUCCUGUUAUCGUUCCACUUCCUGUCCCAAUCCCAAUCCCAAUCCCCAUUCCUCACAUCAAUGAUUCCAAGCCCCCAAAUGGCUUCUCGAGCAAUGGAGAAAGCUUCAUUCCAAAUACACCCAGUGACACAACAGGGGCUAAGCCAACAAGUAAUUCUGUGUCCACCAGGAAUUCUAAACAAGGCCCUUCUAAGCCUUCUGAUUCCUCACCAAGCUGCUCAGGCCAGUCCUUAAAUCAAACGCAAGUGCAUCAGCAGCACAGUAAAGGUGAAGUUGUUGAUUUGACUGUGAGACCAAGUAGUCCUGUGAACAACAAGUUUGGUUUUCCUACAGUACUACAGGGACCACAGGAUGGUGUGAUAGACUUAACUGUAGGUCACAGGUCUAGACUACACAAUGUUAUCCACAGGGCUUUGUACGCUGAAGUCAAAGUUGAACACGAAGCUAGCAGUGUUGUAAAUCUGACUUUGGGUAGCUCAGAUAAAAAGAACUGCAGUGACUGCAGAAAAAAUUGCAGCCCCACUGAAACAAAGACAUUACCUGGUGGUGAUCCACCUCACUGCGGCUCCCUCCCCGCUGCCUCAGGCACUCCAGAAAAUGCUGCAGCUGCAGCCUGCAAUGUCAUUGUGAAUGGCACAAAAGGACCCGAGAUUUCUAAGAACUCCGAAACACCCCAAGAGCAAAAAAAGACUCAGCUUCAAACUUGUUUGCUGGAGGAGCUGCCAGUGAGUGAGCUGGAAUCCGUUAAGGAGAAUAACUGUACGUCAAACUGUCGCCGGGAAGGAGAGUCUGGUAAGAAGACAGGGGAAGAACCUCUGUUUGGGGGAGACAAACAAGACCCCAACCUUAACAAUCCGGCUGAUGAGGAUCAUGCAUAUGCUUUGCGGAUGCUACCCAAAGCAGGCUGCGUCAUCCAGCCUGUACCCAGACCAGCGGAAAAGACUGCAAUUGGACCCUGCAUUAUUUCAACGCCAAGUCUCAGCACAGGGCCCGAGGAUCUAGAGCCACCACUCAAAAGGAGGUGUCUCCGAAUUCGAAAUCAGAAUAAGUAAAGAGUUAAAGUAGUGCUUCCUCUUCAAGCAGGCAAUAUGUUGCAGCAGACGAGUGAUGCUGAAGGGAAGGCUGCCAAAUAAAGCAGAAGAAAGAUUGCUGGCUCUAGGUCUAGUUUCAGGUGCAACAUUUCUGUACGGUCAAAAUAUUUUUGAGUGAAUGCUGAUAUUGACAGGGUACCUUGCAUGGAGAAAGGGAGCAGAGCAAUCAGUGCUACUUCACCAGACAACACCAGCUGGUCCACUCGCCACCAUAUCUGGUCAGAAAUCAAGAAAGCAAAGCCAUUUCCCCUCAUUAUUUCUCUCAGAGGGAAGGCUAAACCCUAGGGUGCCUUUGGGUCAGAAGACUGUAAGCACAUCAUGGACCCCUCAAAGUACUCCCAGCAUUCCGAUGACCCCGUCCCCUUCUCCCUAAACCUUUGGUUUCUUGCCGAUGGAGGAUUUUCCUCUGAUUCUAAAGCCACAUGGACCAAUGUAUGUACUUUUUUUUCCUUAUAGACUUCAAGAUUCAAAUAUUUGAAGUUGGACAAUGAAAUGGAUCCCCCCCCCCCAAAAAAACCUGCUGUGGUUUUGCUGCUACAUGAAGAAUUGUGAUUUGCAUUGUAUGGUUUUGGACCUAUUCGCGUUUUAAUGGGAGGUGGUUGAAGGGGCUAUACUGGAGUAUUGACACUUCAGAGUCAUCUCUAUCUCCUGCCCAUCAUGCACUUUUAAAUGAAGAGUUAUUAGAAUAUUUUAUUGGCUAAUAUACUUUUUCUGUGUUAUUUUUACAAAGGCCACCUUUAUCCUUUUUAAUGCCAUAUUUUCAGUGUUACACUUUUCUGGCUUUUAAUUUUUUUAUUUUGAUUUGACAGAUGUAAGAAGCAGCAUGAAUAGUUUAUACUGUGGUUUUUCAGAGACUGAAUGCCAAGAGAACUCAGUAAAUGUUUAUUCCUCUCGGUUUUCUCUUUCAAUUCCCCUAAAUAGCACCCCUUUUGGGAACAGAGCAAGAGUGUUGAACUAAAGACCAAAAAAGAAAGAAAGAAGGAUCCCCUCAAGGUGUAAAACUAUCUGGGGAAAAUAUUUGCUGGGUGUUAUGAAAGACGUGGAUGAAAUUUCAACCCUGAUGGUUUUGCAGUGAUCCAGGAAGCCAGUGAGACAAUCUCUCCAGAUGUAAAGCUCUUUCAUGAUAAUUAGAAAGGUAUGGCCAAGCCAAUGAAAACACAGGGGUAAAGUGAGAAGCAAGUCCCCAUGAUUUUGUUUCACUAUUUGCUUUCUCCUGCCAUGGUUAAAAGAAAUGUGCAAUCUGAUUCUCAGUUGGUGGGUGGAGGAUAACAGGGUAAGAUUUACUUGUGUGCACUUGUAUAGUUGUAGCCAAGAAUCCAAACGUACACUAGAGCACUGAUUUGGUAAAACAAUUGGGAUGUAUCCCAUUUUGGGCAAAAUACUAAGGGGGGAAAUGAGAGAAAAAAAUAUACGUUCAAAUCACCUUGUGAUCCAGUGUAACUGUUUACUAACUUGAAUCAAGCAAUUGUUCACACACUAGUGAUCAGAGUGCACCUUCACUAUAAGGCUAUUGUGCUUAGCAAAGGGAAAAACAUUUGGGAAGAUUGUGAUUCAAAGAGCUUGGGAGCAGGGUCUUAAAUUAGAGCCAAUUAAAUCAGAACUUUAUAGCGAUGGUGCACUGACGGUACUUUGUACAUACUGUAUUUCUAUAUUUUCCUUUGUACAGAUUCACUUAAGUCAAGCCACUGUUUUACAGGGGCUCCUUAUUUAUUAGGUCUGUGAAGGCUUGGAAAAUUACACCCAACAAGCAAAUUCACUUUGAUUAAAAAAAAAUACGAGAAAAAAAAGAUGAAGUGUGGGAGGGAGGGCAGAAGGUGAGUGGAUGUGCUCAUGAACCCACAGAGUCUCAAAGCCUAACAAAGGCAAAUUUCUAUGGAAAAUAUGAAGCAUUUUUAAGAUGCUUCUUGUUGUUCUUUUUUCUUCUCCCUGACUGGUGUCAGAUUUAUUAAAACAAAAUAAAUCUCCAAGUUAAAAAUGUA